GUGACUGAAUGACCUGCGCUUCUCAAUUUAUUUCUUCUCCUCUGAUGUGUGGUAGUUGGGCAUAUUCAGUUACUGACCAGUUGCAGGGUAAAGCUGGUCUCUUAAACUGAUUGCACGCAUGUGUUUCAUCUGAGCUGUGGAGCAGAAUGUCUUCUCUCUUGAUGUGGUUCACAGCAUACUCAUUAUUGUGGUUUAUGUGUCUCAGCUGGUAGGCAAGGUCUCAACUACUUUCAUUCGCAUGCAGGCUCUUCCACCUUCCACAGAAAAACUCUGAUCUCUCCCAGUUGCAGAGCAUAUUUUUCAAAAACUGUUGCUUUCAGACAAAUCUGAUGAAAUUUUAACAACAGUGAUUCUUCAGACAUCUGUCACAACAUCUGGACAUGGAGUCCUGAGAAUAACUAGCAUACUCCCUCCUGUCCUCCUCAUUCAUACUUAAAAUCAGAAUGGCAAAGUCACUUUACCAGGACUAAACUUGUGCUGAAACACUCUCCCAAACUGGAGCUGAGAUCAGUAACCCUGCACUUUUCCCAGGCUUUGGCCACUCACUGCCAUUGUACUGGGGAUUCUGCAAGUCUGAAGAGGAGAAGUUGAGGUGGCUGUAAAGGAUAAACCACAACAAAGAGCAGAACAAGGUGAGGAGACAAGGUUAAGCCAGAUUGAAGCGUUUCCACACACGUUAACUAUGACUGACAUGAAGAGUCCUCCAAUUCACAUGACUGACAAAAAGGUAAGUUUCAAUAUUACCAUUAUUAUUAUUAUAUCUUUUAAAAGCCAGUAUUGACAAUAUUGAGUCCCACAUUUGCAACCAUAAGGACUGCCCAUGCUGAAUUAGAGAUCUCCUGGCUUAAAAGCCCAUGUAUUGAACAAAGCAAUUGUAGGAAACAAUAUGCACAUGCUGUGUUCUGUGCUCCUGAUAGAAAGCAGAGAGUAUGUCUUCAAAGAGUAAUUAGUACAAGAUGUACACCCUGCCUCCUGUGGACCAUUAAAUAUUGUAUUCCAUAAGAGCCAGACCAAACUUACAGGCAUGCAUAUAUACACUGUUGCUUUCACAGUAAAACUGCUAUUUUUCUGGAAGUGCUGAAGAAAUUAAAAGCUUAGACAUUGUAAGUGCUGGAUUUAUAAUUUUUUUUUCCUUCAGUAGGAUUGUAGUUUGAUGCUCAUAUGGCAUUUUUUAUUCAAAUCUGUGGAAAACAUCAGUCCAGAUAGUCUCCUAAAUUGUGUUUCCCUGGAGUAUUUCAACUUCUGUCUAAUGUUGCCUUUCAUUUUUCACAGACAGCAUAACAUAUAUUAACAGGCACAGCACUAUAUGCGAAAAAAGUCAGUUCUAUCAGUUCUUAUUUUAAUUAGGAAUUCCUCUGGACAUUUAGAUGGGCUAUUAACAGAGACUGUGUCUUUUGGGGCCUUUGAUGUCAAGUCCAUUCUUUCAUGCUAUUUUCACCUAUGGAGAGGAAAUCAUCCUGGUUCAAACAUUGCCAGUAUGUCAGAGGUAUUUCCAAGGAAACAUUUUGAGAGAGUCAGAUCUGUUGAAAAGAAAUCUAAAGAAAAUGGGUAACAAAACAGAAGAAAAUAAGUUGAAAGGAACAGAGUCUAAAAAUGAGCUAGGAGUAGGAUAAAAGGCCAUUUGAAAGAUAGCUGAAAUACUUUGAAAGACUGAAGAAAAAACAAUGAACAAAAAUGUAGAGGGGAAACAGUUCAAAGCUUUCAGCAAUAAAGAGAAAUUAGCAAAAUUAAAAAAAAAGAAACAAACAUUAAAAGUAAAAAAAAAAUGAAAUAAUUAAAGGUAUGAGAGAAUGCAUAUGAAUUGAUUGACAGUAAGAGAAAAGAUGAUAACAGGAAGUGGAUGGUUAUGGCAAUUUAUUUGGAGAGAGAUUAUGUCCUUAACAUUAUCAAGUGGCCAUUAUCUGAGAUUUGCUGACAACUUCAAAGUGAGCAAGGGGUAAAAAUGAAAGACAGAUUGUUUACUUUGGACAUCAAAAAUCUAUGAAUAUUUGUGAGUAAUAAGCUGUAGGUAAACCUGGGUGGUUCUGAACUGAUAACGUCAGGUUUUGGGAAUGGGUUUGUGAGAUAUUGUUUGCGUCAAGUGGA